rnacentral:rRNA from 1 species
GGGUGGUAAUGCCGGAUGCUCCGGUUGGAUGCAUGUCCUUCCGGGAAAGAUUCCAUCGGUAUGGGAUGGGGUCGCGUCCUAUCAGCUUGAUGGCGGGGUAACGGCCCACCAUGGCUUCGACGGGUAGCCGGCCUGAGAGGGCGACCGGCCACAUUGGGACUGAGAUACGGCCCAGACUCCUACGGGAGGCAGCAGUGGGGAAUAUUGCACAAUGGGCGCAAGCCUGAUGCAGCGACGCCGCGUGCGGGAUGGAGGCCUUCGGGUUGUAAACCGCUUUUGAUCGGGAGCAAGCCCUUCGGGGUGAGUGUACCCUUCGAAUAAGCACCGGCUAACUACGUGCCAGCAGCCGCGGUAAUACGUAGGGUGCAAGCGUUAUCCGGAAUUAUUGGGCGUAAAGGGCUCGUAGGCGGUUCGUCGCGUCCGGUGUGAAAGCCCAUCGCUUAACGGUGGGUCUGCGCCGGGUACGGGCGGGCUGGAGUGCGGUAGGGGAGACUGGAAUUCCCGGUGUAACGGUGGAAUGUGUAGAUAU